AGUGUACUUGGUGCUUGGGUU
rnacentral:miRNA from 1 species